GUGCUCACUUCGGCAGCACACAUACUAAAAUUGGAAUGAUACAGAGGUUAGCACGGCCUCUGCCGAAGGAUGAAAUGCAAAUUCAUGAAGUAUUCUAUAUUAAA